GGAUAACACCAAUGUCAAUCAAAGCCUCGGUAAAAGUAUCAUGAAUAGAAAGCAUACCCUAGUUAAGGAUAGGAGUGGGGAGGGCACUGGGUUCAUCUAGGUGGUACACACGAUCCUGGGCUACAGGUCUAACCACAUCGUAUAAGUCGCUGAGGGCAGUCCUUUAUGAGAUGUUGGGUGCUUCUGCACCGAUAGCAGGCGUGAUUGAUAUGUCGACUGGGUAAUUUAUAAUGUGAGCGACCACAAUACUGACAUGGUUGGGAAAGCCAGGCAGGUUGUCCAAUAGAUGGAGAUAGAGUAAGAGGAAGGGCAACUCGGGUUCAUUUAUCGGGGUAGUUGCUUACUGGGUCGGGUAAUCUUCUUUUGGGUUAUUGGGGUUGUUGUUGUUGGGUACAUACUCGGACAAUGCAUUGGU
rnacentral:lncRNA from 1 species